rnacentral:rRNA from 1 species
GGAGUUAGCCGGUGCUUCUUCUGUGAGUGAUGUCCUUCCUGCCGGCUAUUAACCCGCAGGCCUUCUUCCUCACUGAAAGUGCUUUACAACCCGAAGGCCUUCUUCACACACGCGGCAUGGCUGGAUCAGGGUUGCCCCCAUUGUCCAAUAUUCCCCACUGCUGCCUCCCGUAGGAGUCUGGGCCGUGUCUCAGUCCCAGUGUGGCUGAUCAUCCUCUCAGACCAGCUACGGAUCGUCGCCUUGGUGAGCCGUUACCUCACCAACCAGCUAAUCCGACAUAGGCUCAUCCGAUAGCGCGAGGCCCGAAGGUCCCCCGCUUUCCCCCGUAGGGCGUAUGCGGUAUUAGCCUGGGUUUCCCCAGGUUAUCCCCCACUACCGGGCAGAUUCCUAUGCAUUACUCACCCGUCCGCCGCUCGCCACCAGGGAGCAAGCUCCCCGUGCUGCCGCUCGACUUGCNUGUGUAGCGUCGCCGCCNCGCGUCAUCUGAGCAUGAUACAACUACUCGA